rnacentral:rRNA from 1 species
UAGGGAAUAUUGGACAAUGGGCGAAAGCCUGAUCCAGCCAUGCCGCGUGAGUGAAGAAGGCCUUCGGGUUGUAAAGCUCUUUUAGUGGUGAAGAUGAUGACGGUAACCACAGCAAAAGCUCCGGCUAACUUCGUGCCAGCAGCCGCGGUAAUACGAAGGGAGCAAGCGUUGUUCGGAAUUACUGGGCGUAAAGGGCGCGUAGGCGAAUUUGUCAGUCAGAGAUGAAAUCCCAGGGCUCAAACCUGGAAUUGCCUCGAUACUGCAGAUCUUGAGAAUGAGAGAGGUAAGUAGAAUUCCCAGUGUAGAGGUGAAAUUCGUAGAUAUUGGGAAGAAUACCAGUGGCGAAGGCGGCUUACUGGCUCAUUUCUGACGCUGAGGCGCGAAAGCGUGGGGAGCAAACAUG